AAUCAGUGAAACUGAUCUCUCCGUGAAGAAGCGGGGAUACAAAUAUAAGACGAGAAGACCCCAUGGAGCUUUAAACCCAACGACACCCAUUUUCUUUAUACCCUAGUAUUCAUUUGGCUAUGUUUGAUUGGUUUUAGGUUGGGGUGACCACGGAGCAUAAAAUAACCUCCACGAAGAAGAGACUAAUAAUCUUUAUCAAAGAAGUACACUUCUAAGAAUUAACAAAUUAAUUUCCAAUGAUCCGAUAUUCGAUCAACGAACCAAGUUACCCUGGGGAUAACAGCGCAAUCCACCUCAAGAGCUCCUAUCGACAGGUGGGUUUACGACCUCGAUGUUGGAUCAGGAUAUCCCAGUGGUGUAGCAGCUACU
rnacentral:rRNA from 1 species